AAGUUUUUUCGGUCUGGGAUGGACUCGCGGCCUAUCAGCUUGUUGGUGAGGUAAUGGCUCACCAAGGCGUCGACGGGUAGCCGGCCUGAGAGGGUGACCGGCCACACUGGGACUGAGACACGGCCCAGACUCAUACGGGAGGCAGCAGUGGGGUAUAUUGCACAAUGGGCGAAAGCCUGAUGCAGCAACGCCGCGUGAGGGAUGACGGCCUUCGGGUUGUAAACCUCUUUUAGUAAGGAAGAAGGGGAGCUUGCUCCUUGACGGUACUUGCAGAAAAAGGACCGGCUAACUACGUGCCAGCAGCCGCGGUAAUACGUAGGGUCCGAGCGUUGUCCGGAAUUAUUGGGCGUAAAGAGCUCGUAGGCGGUUUGUCACGUCUGCUGUGAAAUCCCGAGGCUCAACCUCGGGCCUGCAGUGGGUACGGGCAGACUGGAGUGCGGUAGGGGAGAUUGGAAUUCCUGGUGUAGCGGUGGAAUGCGCAGAUAUCAGGAGGAACACCGAUGGCGAAGGCAGAUCUCUGGGCCGUAACUGACGCUGAGGAGCGAAAGCGUGGGGAGCGAACAGGAUUAGAUACCCUGGUAGUCCACGCCGUAAACGUUGGGCGCUAGAUGUGGGGACCAUUCCACGGUUUCCGUGUCGUAGCUAACGCAUUAAGCGCCCCGCCUGGGGAGUACGGCCGCAAGGCUAAAACUCAAAGGAAUUGACGGGGGCCCGCACAAGCGGCGGAGCAUGCGGAUUAAUUCGAUGCAACGCGAAGAACCUUACCAAGGCUUGACAUAUACGAGAACGCCGCAGAAAUGUGGAACUCUUUGGACACUCGUAUACAGGUGGUGCAUGGUUGUCGUCAGCUCGUGUCGUGAGAUGUUGGGUUAAGUCCCGCAACGAGCGCAACCCUCGUCGUAUGUUGCCAGCACGUAAUGGUGGGAACUCAUAUGAGACUGCCGGGGUCAACUCGGAGGAAGGUGGGGAUGACGUCAAAUCAUCAUGCCCCUUAUGUCUUGGGCUUCACGCAUGCUACAAUGGCCGGUACAAAGGGCUGCGAUGUCGUAAGGCGGAGCGAAUCCCAAAAAGCCGGUCUCAGUUCGGAUUGAGGUCUGCAACUCGACCUCAUGAAGUCGGAGUCGCUAGUAAUCGCAGAUCAGCAACGCUGCGGUGAAUACGUU
rnacentral:rRNA from 1 species